rnacentral:rRNA from 1 species
UGGGGAAUUUUGCACAAUGGGGGAAACCCUGAUGCAGCGACGCCUCGUGAUUUAGAAGGCCUUCGUGUUGUAAAAAUCUUUUCUAUGGGAAGAAACUGACAGUACCAUAGGAAUAAGGACCGGCUAAUUACUUGCCAGCAGCCGCGGUAAUACGUAAGGUCCGAGCGUUGUCCGGAAUCAUUGGGCGUAAAGGGUACGUAGGCGGGUAAGCAAGUUAGAAGUGAAAUCCUAUAGCUCAACUAUAGUAAGCUUUUAAAACUGCUCAUCUUGAGGUAUGGAAGGGAAAGAGGAAUUCCUAGUGUAGCGGUGAAAUGCGCAGAUAUUAGGAGGAGUACCGGUGGCGAAGGCGACUUUCUGGCCAUCACAUGACGCUGAGGUACGAAAGCGUGGGUAGCAGAAAGG